rnacentral:rRNA from 1 species
GACGAACGCUGGCGGCGUGCUUAACACAUGCAAGUCGAACGGUAAGGCCCCUUCGGGGGUACACGAGUGGCGAACGGGUGAGUAACACGUGAGCAACCUGCCCUUGACUCUGGGAUAACAGUUGGAAACAGCUGCUAAUACCGGAUACGACCUUCGAUGACAUCAUCUGGAGGUGGAAAGCGCUUUAGCGGUCAAGGAUGGGCUCGCGGCCUAUCAGCUUGUUGGUGAGGUAACGGCUCACCAAGGCUUCGACGGGUAGCCGGCCUGAGAGGGCGACCGGCCACACUGGGACUGAGAUACGGCCCAGACUCCUACGGGAGGCAGCAGUGGGGAAUAUUGCACAAUGGGCGCAAGCCUGAUGCAGCAACGCCGCGUGCGGGAUGACGGCCUUCGGGUUGUAAACCGCUUUCAGUUCCGACGAAGCGCAAGUGACGGUAGGAACAGAAGAAGGACCGGCCAACUACGUGCCAGCCGCCGCCGUAA